GGGUUGUGAGGUUAAGCGACUAAGUGUACACGGUGGAUGCCCUGGCAGUCAGAGGCGAUGAAGGACGUGCUAAUCUGCGAUAAGCGUCGGUAAGGUGAUAUGAACCGUUAUAACCGGCGAUUUCCGAAUGGGGAAACCCAGUGUGUUUCGACACACUAUCAUUAACUGAAUCCAUAGGUUAAUGAGGCGAACCGGGGGAACUGAAACAUCUAAGUACCCCGAGGAAAAGAAAUCAACCGAGAUUCCCCCAGUAGCGGCGAGCGAACGGGGAGGAGCCCAGAGCCUGAAUCAGUGUGUGUGUUAGUGGAAGCGUCUGGAAAGGCGCGCGAUACAGGGUGACAGCCCCGUACACAAAAAUACACAUAUUGUGAGCUCGAUGAGUAGGGCGGGACACGUGGUAUCCUGUCUGAAUAUGGGGGGACCAUCCUCCAAGGCUAAAUACUCCUGACUGACCGAUAGUGAACCAGUACCGUGAGGGAAAGGCGAAAAGAACCCCGGCGAGGGGAGUGAAAAAGAACCUGAAACCGUGUACGUACAAGCAGUGGGAGCACGCUUAGGCGUGUGACUGCGUACCUUUUGUAUAAUGGGUCAGCGACUUAUAUUCUGUAGCAAGGUUAACCGAAUAGGGGAGCCGAAGGGAAACCGAGUCUUAACUGGGCGUUAAGUUGCAGGGUAUAGACCCGAAACCCGGUGAUCUAGCCAUGGGCAGGUUGAAGGUUGGGUAACACUAACUGGAGGACCGAACCGACUAAUGUUGAAAAAUUAGCGGAUGACUUGUGGCUGGGGGUGAAAGGCCAAUCAAACCGGGAGAUAGCUGGUUCUCCCCGAAAGCUAUUUAGGUAGCGCCUCGUGAAUUCAUCUCCGGGGGUAGAGCACUGUUUCGGCAAGGGGGUCAUCCCGACUUACCAACCCGAUGCAAACUGCG
rnacentral:rRNA from 1 species